CAGGAUUAGAUAUAGUGGUAGUCCACGCCCUAAACGAUGUCUAUUAGUUGUCGGGUUUUAAUUAACUUGGUAACGCAGCUAACGCGUGAAGUAGACCGCCUGGGGAGUACGGUCGCAAGACUAAAACUCAAAGGAAUUGACGGGGACCCGCACAAGCGGUGGAUGAUGUGGAUUAAUUAGAUGCAACGCGAAAAACCUUACCUACCCUUGACAUGUCAGGAAUCCUCGAGAGAUUGAGGAGUGCCCGAAAGGGAGCCUGAACACAGGUGGUGCAUGGCUGUCGUCAGUUCGUGUCGUGAGAUGUUGGGUUAAGUCCCGCAACGAGCGCAACCCUUGUCAUUAGUUGUUAAGAAAGGGCAUUUUAAUGAGACUGCCGGUGACAAACCGGAGGAAGGUGGGGAGGAGGUCAAGUCUUCAUGGCCCUUAUGGGUAGGGCUUCACACGUCAUACAAUGGUACAUCCAGAGGGCCGCCAACCCGGGAGGGGGAGUUAAUCCCAGAAAGUGUAUCGUAGUCCGGAUCGCAGUCUGCAACUCGAGCGCGUGAAGUUGGAAUCGCUAGUAAUCGCGGAUCAGCAUGCCGCGGUGAAUACGUUCCCGGGUCUUGUACACACCGCCCGUCACCCCAUGGGAGCGGGUUUUACCAGAAGUAGGUAGCUUAACCGCAAGGGGGGCGCUUACCACGGUAGGAUUCGUGACUGGGGUGAAGUCGUAACAAGGUAACC
rnacentral:rRNA from 1 species